ensembl:lncRNA
GCCCGGCGCUGCGCGGGGCCGCCCCGCCCGCGGCAUGGCCGGCGCGCUGGGCAGAGGGGCGGCGUGCUGGCGGAUGCGGAGCGGCAGGAAGGAGAAGGCGCCGGGCGGCAAGCCCCGGCCGCAGCACGAAAAUAUGAAGAAGCCCUGGAGCCCUGACUUACCAGCUUCUAAUCACUCGUACAAUUUGGCUUUCGCAUCCAUCCCAGACAGAGAUAGUGAGAAAGAAUUAACAACUGGUAGCAGUGAAGAAAAGAAGGAGAGAGAAAAGAAGCAGACCAAUUUCACUUUGUGCAAUGUUUGUAACAUUCAGCUGAACUCUGCUGCUCAGGCACAAAUCCACUACAACGGCAAAUCCCAUCAGAAGAGGUUAAAACAGCUCAGCAAUGGAAAUCUCAAAAGUGAUAAUGCUCUCAGCAGGAGGCUGCCCACAGCUGAGCCCAGGAGCCCUGGCAUGCAGAGGAUAUUCCCAAUUGUGUCGUGGGAGCUGAUUUUAGAAAGCAGUCUCUCCUUUCUAAAUGACCGUUUUCCACAUCAAUUAGUCACGUGAAUAUUAUUAUUUAGAAUUUUUUUUAAAUUUCUUGCGGUGAAGUUGAGGAAAGAAUCUGUCUUGGGACCCACAUGCUUCAGUGGGAUGUUCAGAACAAAAUUCUGUACUUUUCACUGAUGCUUUGUUUGACUUGAAGAACAUUUUCACUGCUGAUGUCACUAGAGCGAUGGCAAGACAAAAACAAGGAGUAGCAGAAAUACCUACAUAUCUCUUUUUCUUCUUGUAAUGUUGUUGUUUCAUCUAUUCCUUCAGAACGUUUAGCCCGUAUAAAGUAACCGUAUAUUCAGAAUUGUUUUCCCACUGUGAUGCUCUGUCUUGUUAGAUGUUUUCUGCUUACAUGUGCUUAUUUUAUAAGCAAAGAAAGACAAAAUGGAAUCUAUCAUAAAUUACAACAGUUAUGAGUGAGACUAAAUUAAAUCAUUGUUGCAGUACUCACGAAAUCUUUCUCUAGGAAAGUAUGAACUAGGAACAGAAACGUUCAAUUUAAUAUGCCUCCUUUUUUAAAAUUGUUUUUAACCUUUUCUCCUUGCCCUCUACACAUAUUUUCCUCAUAAAAAAUGUAGAAAUAGAUACCAUACAUUAAAAAAAAACAAGUUAUUGAUAUGUACAUUGUUUGUAUUAUGUCAAGGGAGCACAUUUUUACUUGCUUUCUUCCCCUUAGGAUUGGGAUCCCCUGAAGUCUUGAUAUAGCUACUAACCUUCAAAGACAAAAGGUCAGAUAUUGACUAGUACACAUCAAUUACUUCCCUUGGAAUCAGAGGAAUUAAGAUAAUUUGCAAUCAUGCAGAAUAUGUCAUAAAAGAUAUGUUGCAUGCAUAUCUGUAAUGAAAGACCAUUACUAAUGUUGUAAAAACACUCAAAGACUAGGAGAUAACUUUAUUAAAUCAUUCUGAAGUUGCUGAAGCAGCAUUGAAUCCCUGCUUUAAGUUAAGGGAUGUGCUUAAGAAUGGUCCUGAAGAAGAGUUGAGAGCUUUGUAUUUCUCUUUUUGAGCUAGACACA